rnacentral:ncRNA from 1 species
ACCCGAACAGGCAACCUCGUCGAGUGGCGAGGACGCAAAGCCAGGGGCCUCCCGUCGGAGGUUGCCCAGCCGCCGAAG